AGCCCGACGCCAUUUUUUGUGGGGAGUUUAUCGAGCACGUCGAAUCCCCCCACUUACUGAUCACUCGCCUGGAGUCAUGGGUCAAGCCCGGGGGGCUAGUGGUGUUUACCUGCCCAUCCGGUCCGUUCAGUGAACUCCUCCCCCGCCACAUCCCCCGCCUGCGUGGUCAUGUCCAUUCCUUUGACCAGCGGGACAUUUCCACCCUAUUCGGCAGUAAGCAUGGGGUGACCUGGAACUAUAUCCCGCUUGGCCAUACCCCCAAGGGUACCCCCGUUGGGUACUGGUUGAUAGCGUUUACCCGGCCCACCGCCACCCAGCAGGCCGACGACCAGGCAUCGGGCAUCAC
rnacentral:misc_RNA from 1 species